rnacentral:rRNA from 1 species
AACGAACGCUGGCGGCAUGCCUAACACAUGCAAGUCGAACGAUCCCUUCGGGGAUAGUGGCGCCCGGGUGCGUAACGCGUGGGAACCUGCCCUUAGGUUCGGCAUAACUCAGAGAAAUUUGAGCUAAUACCGGAUAAUGUCUUCGGACCAAAGAUUUAUCGCCGUUGGAUGGGCCCGCGUUGGAUUAGCUUGUUGGUGGGGUAAAGGCCUACCAAGGCGCGGAUCCAUAGCUGGUCUGAGAGGAUGAUCAGCCACACUGGGACUGAGACACGGCCCAGACUCCUACGGGAGGCAGCAGUGGGGAAUAUUGGACAAUGGGCGAAAGCCUGAUCCAGCAAUGCCGCGUGAGUGAUGAAGGCCUUAGGGUUGUAAAGCUCUUUUACCCGGGAUGAUAAUGACAGUACCGGGAGAAUAAGCCCCGGCUAACUCCGUG